rnacentral:rRNA from 1 species
GAUGAACGCUAGCGACAGGCCUAACACAUGCAAGUCGAACGGGAUUGGGAGCUUGCUCCCAUGAGAGUGGCGCACGGGUGAGUAACGCGUAUGCAACCUACCUGUAACUGGGGGAUAGCUCCCUGAAAGGGGAAUUAACACCGCAUAAGACCACGCCAUCACCUGAUGGAGGGGUAAAAUAUUUAUAGGUUACAGAUGGGCAUGCGUGACAUUAGUUUGUUGGUGAGGUAACGGCUCACCAAGACUACGAUGUCUAGGGGUUCUGAGAGGAAGGUCCCCCACACUGGUACUGAGACACGGACCAGACUCCUACGGGAGGCAGCAGUGAGGAAUAUUGGUCAAUGGACGCAAGUCUGAACCAGCCAUGUCGCGUGCAGGACGACGGCCCUAUGGGUUGUAAACUGCUUUUGUACGGGAAGAAAAAUGACCACGUGUGGUCACUUGCCGGUACCGUACGAAUAAGGAUCGGCUAACUCCGUG